GGCCUCGUAGUAAAGUUACACCGGAGUGCAAAUCCGGAGCCGCACCCUAUUAGGUGCCGGGGCUU
rnacentral:tRNA from 1 species